GUACUUAACACAUGCAAGUCGAACGAGGAGCUUCGGUGUAGCAAUACACCGGAGCUUCUAGUGGCGCACGGGUGAGUAACACGUGGGCAACCUGCCCUCGAGUCCGGGAUACCCUCUCGAAAGGGAGGCUAAUACUGGAUACGUUCUCUGGAUCGCAGGGUCUGGAGAGGAAAGGCGGCGAAAGCUGCCGCUCUUGGAGGGGCUCGCGGCCUAUCAGCUAGUUGGUGAGGUCAUGGCUCACCAAGGCGAUGACGGGUAGCUGGUCUGAGAGGACGACCAGCCACACGGGAACUGAGACACGGUCCCG
rnacentral:rRNA from 1 species